rnacentral:lncRNA from 1 species
CCAGUUCUUUAUGUUGGUCAGAAGAGUCAGUGUAGCGGAAAUCAUGCUUUUCAUGUAAACAGAGAGCUUGAAACCAGAACCUCCGUUUUAAUCCGUCCCUGAUUAUCACCCCAACUCUGUUUUGGUGUCCAUUCUGUAAUAUGGUUGCUCGGAGAUGACACAAUGAACACUGAUUUUUACGUAGCCUGUUUCCGGACAUGUGUGACAAACUUUAUAUUCAAAAGUUUGUGAUAUAAAAUGUGGUAUGAGUGCUUCCUUUAAGGAGUGCUUAUAUUAACUCUUGAACAUAAUCUUUAAGAGUAAUAACAGCUAUUUUCUUUUGCCCCUGAGUAUAAUUCCCCUAGCUGUAGUCUGCAUUUUGAUAUCUAUACUAGGUAUCGGAAUAAAAUGACUGAUUCUGCCAUUGUUUGAUGCCUCAUUUAUCUACUAUACCCUCAGCUAUGGAAUUUUUCAGCAAAUGUAUCUACUAGAAUCCUACACAUUUGUCGAUCUAUGCUCAUCUGCAGCGCGAUAUCAAGACUUCUUUCUGUGCAUCAGAAGUGCUUGCACCUAUGUAGGUGAGUUCUGUUAUCAAUUUUAUCUAUUGGUAAAAUGCAACUUCCCAAUAAGAUCUUUCCUCAGUGCCAAAUGUGGACAUGCAUUGUUUAUUACUGUCACAUUUAUAAUUUGAUGAUGGGGAGGAAAUACGUAACGUAUGCAUCUUGUUGGCAUGUUGUUUUUGAUUAAGGUGAUGUGUAUUCACUAUAUUUGCUAUUUGUCUACUUAUAUUUAGACCGUUAUGUUUAAGGGUGCAGGUCUUGACAUACGAAUGUUACAACAUAUGUUUUUUUUCCGAUAUAUGGUCUUAAACCUAAAUUUUUGUUAUGUAUGAGGAGAUACAGUGUCAUAUCAUUCAUUCUAGGGUUUUUUUAUUCAACACAAUUUGCUACCGGAUGUAUGAUAGAUUGAUACUAGCAUUCGACUAUUCUGAACCAGCUGCCUAUGUUUAAUAAUAUGUGUUUUAUAAGUGUAUUCUUGUUCUCUAUGGUGGUACUUGCUAAAGUACAACUCCUCUCAUUACUUAUUUGGUCUUUUGUUUAUAUCAGGUUCACCUCUAUCUGAUAUAUCACGUUAAUUACAACCUACAAGCACAAUUUAAUUAGCAGAGCCUUUUAUCUGAUUACAGAACAUCCC